ACCGUAAGGCCUCGCGCGAUUGGAGCGGCCGAUGUCGGAUUAGCUAGUUGGUGAGGUAAAGGCUCACCAAGGCGACGAUCCGUAGCGGGUCUGAGAGGAUGAUCCGCCACACGUGGGACUGAGACGACCGGCCCAGACCUCCGUACGGGAGGCAGCAGGUGGGGAAUUUUGGACAAUGGGCGCAAGCCUGAUCCAGCCAUGCCGCGUGCGGGAAGAAGGCCUUCGGGUUGUAAACCGCUUUCGGACAGAAAGAAAUCGCAUGGACUAAUACUCUGUGUGGAUGACGGUACUGUAAGAAGAAGCACCGGCUAACUACGUG
rnacentral:rRNA from 1 species